rnacentral:rRNA from 1 species
UACAGAGGGGGCAAGCGUUGUUCGGAAUUACUGGGCGUAAAGGGCGCGUAGGUGGCCUUCUAAGUUGAACGUGAAAUCCCUGGGCUCAACCCAGGAACUGCGUCCAAGACUGGGAGGCUUGAAUCCGGGAGAGGGAUGCGGAAUUCCAGGUGUAGCGGUGAAAUGCGUAGAUAUCUGGAGGAACACCGGUGGCGAAGGUGGCAUCCUGGACCGGUAUUGACACUGAGGCGCGAAAGCCAGGGGAGCAAACGGG